UCUUCAAAUUUAAUUCUGAAUUGCUCUGGAGUGACUUCCCUGAUAACAUCUGAUAUAGCUUCAAUAAAUUACGUUCACUCUAAACCACGAAAAGCUGUUUGAGAUGAAUUUUGAAGGAAUGCAUCAAGUACUCUAACUGUGGACAUUCAAGAUUUGAGCCAGAGAAUCUGAUUCAGACAGAGGAUGCUUAGAGCAGCAGAUAUUCUAUUCAUAAACUAAGAAGCAUGUUUAAAUUCAGUGAAGAAAUAUUAGGAUGGUCAAUGUCUUCAUACACCUGCUUUCUACUAGUUAAUUUUAUUCUGUCUGAUGAGUGUGUGAUUAGUUCAUGGUUUUAUACUACUUCCUUAUCUCACACUGUACUUGAGUUCUUUCUUUUUGGACGGUGCUAUGUAAGAGAAAUUUGAAGCACUGCGAAUCUUAAAUCUUCCAAACAGUUAUGCGUUGUCUUCUAUCGACUCUGCAUGUUUCAUUAUGAAGAUCAAGUCUUUGCCGAA